rnacentral:rRNA from 1 species
AUUGAACGCUGGCGGCAGGCCUAACACAUGCAAGUCGAACGAGUGGCGGACGGGUGAGUAAUGUCUGGGAAACUGCCUGAUGGAGGGGGAUAACUACUGGAAACGGUAGCUAAUACCGCAUACCAUCGGAUGUGCCCAGAUGGGAUUAGCUAGUAGGUGGGGUAAAGGCUCACCAAGGCGACGAUCCCUAGCUGGUCUGAGAGGAUGACCAGCCACACUGGAGCUGGGACACUGGCCAGAGGCCGACGGGAGGCAGCAGGGGGGAAUAUGGCACAAUGGGCGCAAGCCUGAUGCAGCCAUGCCGCGUGUAUGAAGAAGGCCUUCGGGUUGUAAAGUACUUUCAGCGGGGAGGCGUUACCCGAAGAAGAAGCACCGGCUAACUCCGUGCCAGCAGCCGCGGUAAUAC